rnacentral:rRNA from 1 species
CAAAAGUUAAAAAUACAUAAAUAAGGACCCGAAAGAUGGUGAAACUAUACUUGGGAAAGAAUAAAGUCAGGGGAAACUCUGAUGGAAGUUCGUAGCGAUACUAACGUGCAAAAUUGUUCGUCGAAUCUGAGUAUAGGGGCGAAAAGACCAAUCGAACCAUCUAGUAGCUGGUUCCCUCCGAAUUUUCCCGCAGGAUUGCUGUAAUCUGGAUAAAUAGUUUUAUCAUGUAAAGAUAAUGAUUAGAAGAUUUUAUCGGGGGGAUUAAAAUCCCUUGACUUAUUCUCAAACUUUUAAAGGGUAAAUAAAUUGGUGCUGAUUUCUAACCGAAUCCGCCAAAUUGAAAUAGAACAGAUUAUAAGUGGGCCAUAUCUGGUAAGCAGAACUGGCGAUGUGGGAUGAACCAAACGAUAAAGUUAAGGUGCC